CGAAAGCCUGACGGAGCAACGCCGCGUGAGGGAUGAAGGCCUCUGGGCUGUAAACCUCUUUUCUCAAGGAAGAAGAUCUGACGGUACUUGAGGAAUAAGCCACGGCUAAUUCCGUGCCAGCAGCCGCGGUAAUACGGGAGUGGCAAGCGUUAUCCGGAAUUAUUGGGCGUAAAGCGUCCGCAGGCGGCCUUUCAAGUCUGCUGUUAAAGUGUGGAGCUUAACUCCAUCAUGGCAGUGGAAACUGUUGGGCUUGAGUGUGGUAGGGGCAGAGGGAAUUCCCGGUGUAGCGGUGAAAUGCGUAGAUAUCGGGAAGAACACCAGUGGCGAAGGCGCUCUGCUGGGCCAUAACUGACGCUCAUGGACGAAAGCCAGGGGAGCG
rnacentral:rRNA from 1 species